rnacentral:rRNA from 1 species
GACGAACGCUGGCGGCGUGCUUAACACAUGCAAGUCGAGCGGAGCGGCGAACGGGUGAGUAACGAGUGAGUAACUGCCCCCCUCUCUGGGAAAACAGUUGGAAACGGCUGCUCAUACCGGAUAGUGGGGGAUGACUCGCGUCCUAUCAGCGUGUUGGUGGGGUAGUGGCCUACCAAGGCGACGACGGGUAGCCGGCCUGAGAGGGCGACCGUCCACAUUGGGCUGAGAUACGGCCCAAACGCCGACGGGAGGCAGCAGUGGGGAAUAUUGCACAGUGGGGGAAAUCCCGAUGCAGCAACGCCGCGUGCGGGAUGACGGCCUUCGGUCUGUAAACCGCUUUCAGCCAUGACGCGGUAGUGGCAGAAGAAGCACCGGCUAACUACGUGCCAGCAGCCGCGGUAAUUC